UACGUAGGGUGCGAGCGUUGUCCGGAAUUACUGGGCGUAAAGAGCUCGUAGGUGGUUUGUCGCGUUGUUCGUAAACUCACAGCUUAACUGUGGGCGUGCGGGCGAUACGGGCAGACUGGAGUACUGCAGGGGAGACUGGAAUUCCUGGUGUAGCGGUGGAAUGCGCAGAUAUCAGGAGGAACACCGGUGGCGAAGGCGGGUCUCUGGGCAGUAACUGACGCUGAGGAGCGAAAGCGUGGGGAGCGAACAGG
rnacentral:rRNA from 1 species